rnacentral:rRNA from 1 species
UGGCUCAGAUUGAACGCUGGCGGCAUGCCUUACACAUGCAAGUCGAACGGCAGCAUAGGAGCUUGCUCCUGAUGGCGAGUGGCGAACGGGUGAGUAAUAUAUCGGAACGUGCCCUAGAGUGGGGGAUAACUAGUCGAAAGAUUAGCUAAUACCGCAUACGAUCUACGGAUGAAAGUGGGGGAUCGCAAGACCUCAUGCUCCUGGAGCGGCCGAUAUCUGAUUAGCUAGUUGGUGGGGUAAAAAGCCUACCAAGGCGACGAUCAGUAGCUGGUCUGAGAGGACGACCAGCCACACUGGGACUGAGACACGGCCCAGACUCCUACGGGAGGCAGCAGUGGGGAAUUUUGGACAAUGGGGGCAACCCUGAUCCAGCAAUGCCGCGUGAGUGAAGAAGGCCUUCGGGUUGUAAAGCUCUUUUGUCAGGGAAGAAACGGUUUUGGCUAAUAUCCAGGACUAAUGACGGUACCUGAAGAAUAAGCACCGGCUAACUACGUGCCAGCAGCCGCGGUAAUACGUAGGGUGCAAGCGUUAAUCGGAAUUACUGGGCGUAAAGCGUGCGCAGGCGGUUGUGUAAGACAGAUGUGAAAUCCCCGGGCUCAACCUGGGAAUUGCAUUUGUGACUGCACGGCUAGAGUGUGUCAGAGGGGGGUAGAAUUCCACGUGUAGCAGUGAAAUGCGUAGAUAUGUGGAGGAAUACCGAUGGCGAAGGCAGCCCCCUGGGAUAACACUGACG